UGACUACACAUCAAAAUCAGAAUUCACCGCUUUGUCUUUUUUUCUACUACUAUUACUACUCUCUAUUUCUCUACACUACUACUGCGGCAUUCUACAUCUGUACUUCCUGAUGUCUGAACUUCUAAGCACUUGGGGAGUUUUCCUUGAGUCUGUUCCUGGCUGUUUGUUUGUUGUUACUGUUCUGUUAUUCUAGAAUUUAUAAUUGGUAUGUUCUUCUAUGUUAAAUAGCAUCGUUGUUCAACUUCUCUGGUUCUACCCCUCUUUCGUUGUGUGUUUAUUUAUGCUUUCUUGCACUAUGUAAUUACUUUCGAGCAUACUAUGUCUCUUAUGUUAUGUUUAAUCCCUUUCCCUCUAUUCCCUUUGUAUGUGAGUAUUGUCCUGGGUCAUAGCAGCGCUAUGAAUUGCUGUUUCUAAUCCAGAACUAGACUUUUCAUAGUCUUUACUCGAUUUCUUUCCAAUUCCCUUUCCCCUGAAUGAGCUGAGCUCUAAUUGGUGUCCUUAUCACCAUUCAGACCUGAGUUUGACUCUAUAAUAGUCUGCUCUUAUUCGUUUGAAUCCGAGCAAGAGGUUAGGAUUGUGCCAGUCUAU
rnacentral:lncRNA from 1 species